AUUGAACGCUGGCGGCAGGCCUAACACAUGCAAGUCGAGCGAGCGGCGGACGGGUGAGUAAUGUCUGGGAAACUGCCUGAUGGAGGGGGAUAACUACUGGAAACGGUAGCUAAUACCGCAUACCAUCAGAUGUGCCCAGAUGGGAUUAGCUAGUAGGUGGGGGAACGGCCCACCUAGGCGACGAUCCCUAGCUGGUCGGGGGGGAUGACCAGCCACCUGGGACCUGAGACACGGUCCAGACUCCUCCGUGAGGAAGCCGUGGGGAAUGUUGCACAAUGGGGGCACCCCUGAUGCAGCCAUGCCGCGUGUGUGAAGAGGGCCUUCGGGUUGUAAAGCCCUUACAGCGGGGAGGCGUUACUCGCAGAAGAAGCACCGGCUAACUCCGUGCCAGCAGCCGCGGUAAUUC
rnacentral:rRNA from 1 species